CCUACGGGAGGCAGCAGUGGGGAAUAUUGCGCAAUGGGGGAAACCCUGACGCAGCAACGCCGCGUGAAGGAAGAAGGCUUUCGGGUCGUAAACUUUUGUCUUCUGGGAAGAAUAAAUGACGGUACCAGAGGAGGAAGCCACGGCUAACUACGUGCCAGCAGCCGCGGUAAUACGUAGGUGGCGAGCGUUGUCCGGAUUUACUGGGUGUAAAGGGUGCGUAGGCGGGUAUGCAAGUCAGAUGUGAAAUACCGGGGCUCAACUCCGGGGCUGCAUUUGAAACUGCAUAUCUUGAGUGCAGGAGAGGAAAGUGGAAUUCCUAGUGUAGCGGUGAAAUGCGUAGAGAUUAGGAGGAACACCAGUGGCGAAGGCGACUUUCUGGACUGUAACUGACGCUGAGGCACGAAAGUGUGGGGAGCGAACAGGAUUAGAUACCCUGGUAGUCCACACUGUAAACGAUGGAUACUAGGUGUAGGGGGUAUCGACCCCUUCUGUGCCGGAGUUAACACAAUAAGUAUCCCACCUGGGGAGUACGGCCGCAAGGUUGAAACUCAAAGGAAUUGACGG
rnacentral:rRNA from 1 species